rnacentral:lncRNA from 1 species
GAAGACGAACCAGACGCCGGAGGAGCCGGCCGCCGCUACCCGCUGCCGCACCGGGGAGUUUUCCGACCGUCGAUCAAGGUAAAUUUCAUACCCCUGCCUCGUUUUUCAAUGCUGAGUUCCCCUGUGGCCAAAUCGGAACCAAACUCCCGGCCAAACAGCCGGAAAACACGGCCGAAACCCAGUUGCGCCGCCGCGCCCCUCCUCGGUUUUUGCCUCCGAUAAGGCCCUUCCCGGCCUCCGUUUGAUACAAUUUUUAUAUCACCGUGAUCACCAUUCUUUUCUCUACAGGUUGAUCGGAGCCAAAUCACCAAAACACGAACCACACCGGAGAGCCGCCGCACCCGAGAGCACCGCCGCCAGUAAGCUUCGGUUUUUCAUAAUUUUUUGGCCCCCCGAGG